GAAUCUCUCCAAAUCAUUCUAUUUUCUUUGUGGCAAAAGGCAAGAGGUAGAAGACUCAGAAAUUGAAGUGGGCGCAAAAGUGGGCCAUUGUAACAACGCGAGGGACAUUUCACCCUCACCGAGCACCUCUCUUCCUGAAGGGUCCUGCCGUGCGCUGGCUGAACUGAUCAGAAAGUCCGGGCGUUUUGGAGCGGGGAAUGCAGAGCGCCCCAAGAAGCCAGCAGAAGAGAGGGAUCGGCGGGGAGUUGGCAAAGGCGAGGCCCCUACCAGAAACGCUUGCCAAUCCGUGCUCAAGGCUAUGAGGAGAUUCACGGGAGGAAGUCUUAUGAGAAGCCCCUGUUUCUGCAUACAGGAGAUCUGAAAUAAAGCCCUGACCCUCUGUGUUUGCUGGAGUGCACAAUGCGGGCGCUGUAUUCCCCUUCCCAUGCCCACCAGUCUUAACAAAAAUCUACAAACUAUCUCCAAGGAGAUGGAAAGGGCUUAUCUCUUCAGUUAAAUUGGGAAAAUACAGCGGAAAAAUUUGCCCAGAUGGUGUAUGAAUCCAAAUGAGAAACACACCUCCAAAGAGCAGGGUGCAUUGCUGGUGGGAGCAUCCAGGGUUAGGAGAGGAGGAGGAGGAGGGAUAUUUGGGGAAAAGGAUGUCAACGCUGUUCAGAAAUUUUUGCCUGCCCUUUGCAAUCACUUAAAUAAUCUGUGGUGUUCAGUGGGUAUUUUACCUGACCUAAUUAAAAAUCAGAUUGCUAUUUUAACUGAGAAAAAUAGGACUUUCAACUGUUUUAGAAAGAAGAAAAGAAUAAACAUUAUCAAGACCAUCUCUUAGAAGAUUAGGACAAAAAAAUCCAAGAGGAGAGGCUUCAAAGCUGUUUUUGUUUUCCCUGGCUUUGAAAUACAUAGAGAG
ensembl:lncRNA